AACUCUUUCCUUUUAUACGUGGCAAGAGAUUGCUUCUUUAAAAUACGGACGUUGGAUUUACUGCACUAAUGUGUGAAAUAUUAGUGUAGGGUUACAACUGGCUCCUUCAAGGAAUUUAUCCGUGGCGUCUCCAUUACUGUGCGUAAUAGUCAAGAAAGGCUAUUUGUUGUUUUGCUAUAAAAUGGAUCAACACCGAUAUUAAUUGAUGAAAAUAUGUCAUUGAAUUUUAUCGACAAACAGUUAAUCUUUUUGGUAACUUGAUCAACGACAGUCGUGUCAUUGUUUUGUCAAUGUGUUCUUAAGCAUUUUUCAAACAAUAUUUUUAUAAUAUAGAUAUAAUUUUUGUACACUAAGUAUAAUUUUUAUACUAAUCAAAACGGGUUGCGUUCGCAGCAUAGAAUAAUGCGUGACUGCGUCUAGCAUGGAAAGCAAAAACCAUUAAAAGGUCAAGAUGAACAAAA